CUUUCUUCCAAAGAAUCAAACUCAGAAAGAUUUUAGAACUUUUUUCUAAAUGUGGCUCUUCUAGAGUGUGUUCCAUUCCUUCUUUUCUUAGGGUUACUGCAUCAUCAUUUUCCUACUUCUGUCAUAAGGGUCGAGCUUAUUCAACAAGAAACAUUGGUUUUUAGAUAAAUUUAUACUAGAUAUUGGAUUCGAAGUGAUCUUCACAUAGCACCACCUCAUAAACCCAAACACUACGAAAUUCCAGUAUAAAAAUACAAAUGAGUAAAAGUGAUCCUCAUUCUUCUCCCCCUGUACCCCCAACUCAAACGGAAGGUGUAUCAAAUCCAACGGAAGACACUUCUAAGAAGAAAAUUGAUAAUAGUUCAACCUCACCAUCAAUACAAGCAGAUAAGAGUCCAUCAACUUCAAAAGUGGCAAAAGACUCGAAGCCACUCAAUUCUUCAUCAACAACUCAAGAAGAUCCAAGCACUUCCAAUCCUAAAGUGAAUACGAAAGUUGUCAAUAACUCAAAUAUUAGUUUAAUUACGAAAAAUUUAAAUUUUUUUAAAAGGAAAAAAAAUGAUAAUACUUCGACAUUGUCAUCAUCACAAGCAAAUAAGAAUCUAUCAACUUCAAAAGUGACAAAAGUAAGUUACUGAUAGCUCAAAUAUCAAUUAAUUACUAACCGUUUUCAACAUAAGAAAAGUGACAAAAGUAUACAAUAUAUCAUAAGAAAUUAAUAGAAUAAAAAUACUAACGAAUUUUACAUGGAUUGUUCAGGACUCAGAAUCUUCUUCAAAUCAAUUAAAGAUGGGGUUAUAUGCAAUGAUAUUAUGCUUUACGAUGAACUUUAAGAGAAAUAUUAGCUCAUGUUACAAUUGCACCACAACAGUGUUGCUUAUGAUUAAAAGAAAUAAAAAGGUGUUUUAACACCAUUAUGUGUAUUUUUUUAUCUUUUUGUUUCAAGUUACAGAGUAAGAGUAGAGUGUGACAUGUUGAUAUUUGAAUUUCUUUCAAUAAAAAGUUAUGGUAGAAAUUGGCAUGGAA